rnacentral:lncRNA from 1 species
UGCAGGGAGGCCCAGCGCCAAAGAAGUACGCUAAUGGCAAGGAUGGGGGCUGGGCACGCUGAACAACAGAUCCUCACUGUUAGUAAGACAUUUAGUUCUGUCCAAAUAUGACCCUAAAGCUUUUACAAAACACCUUACUUUAAAAUAAUAUUACAAAGGGUCUUCAGUUUUUACAUUACUCUAGGCACUGAGUUAUUACUUUUUCCUUUUCUUUUGCUUCCCUCACUCCAAGUCUAAAAAGGUUUUCCAUGGUAUUUUGGCCCCAAACUAUACUAAGAAACAUACGGCCAAUUUAAUUUAAAAAAGAAAACUGAUUCUCAGGAGAGAACCACAGAUCCAUUUCCAAAGGCCAGAGAAAGAAGUUAUAUACUAGGAAGAAUUUCUAACUUGAAAAAAAUCAAAGCCUUCAUCACUGCUGGGAGAGUUUUAAGUCUGUGGGCCUGGCCUUCAAAUGAGUAACAAAAUGUCCCGCACCUCACUCCAUGGGCCAAUGACCCAAAUUUCCUUACAUUAAUUCAAGAUGUGAGUGAGCAGUACAGUACACAAAUUAGUUUCAGAUGACAAGAGGAAAAGAACCCCAGGAGCACCAAAAGGAACAAAGCAAAACCAUCAGUGCCAAAUGAAAUGACCCCGCGGGGUGAAAGGAGAUGGACUCCCUGAGUUAAAUCUCAGGGCAGCGCCAAGGUGCAGGCUCCCAGGCUCACUUUACCUACACCUGACUUUUGACCUAUUCUAAACCAUCCCAGGGAAGUGCAGAAAAAGUAAAAGUAGAAUGAGAACCAAUAAGAAGAAAGCAUUGUGUCAAUCAUACC